UAAAAAAAAAAAAAGCAUUGAAAAUUUCGUAGAGGAGAGGUUAUGUCAAUGGAGGGAGAGAAGAUGUAAUGGCACAAACAUUUCCUCUUGCUUCUUAGAAGAUCUUGAAGAGAAUACCACCGUGGCUGGCGAAGAAAGGAGCAAACACAAGGGACUCAACAGCCAUCAACUUGAUAAGAAUGUUGAGGGAAGGUCCCGAUGUAUCCUUGAGUGGGUCUCCGAUUGUGUCACCGAUAACAGCGGCUUUGUGUGGAUCUGAUCCUUUCGGGCCAAGGGUUCUUGCAUGCUCAGAGGCACCAGCCUCGAUGUACUUCUUAGCAUUGUCCCAGGCACCUCCGGUGUUGGAUGCAGAGAUAGCAAUCUGCACACCAGAAACAAGGGAUCCAGCAAGAACGCCAGAAAGAGUUUCGACUCCAAAUAGGAUACCAACAAUUAGGGGUGUCAACAUGACAAGGGCACCUGGUGGGAUCAUCUCCUUGAUAGAAGCAUCAGUUGAGAUCUUGACACAUGUAGCAUAGUCGGGCUUGGCGGUACCCUCCAUGAGACCUGGGAUGGUGUUAAAUUGCCUUCGCACCUCCUCAACCAUCUUUAGGGCUGCACUCCCAACACUCUUCAUUGUCAUGGCAGAA
rnacentral:misc_RNA from 1 species